rnacentral:rRNA from 2 species
GGGGAAUAUUGCGCAAUGGGGGAAACCCUGACGCGGCAAUACCGCGUGAGUGAAGAAGGUUUUCGGAUCGUAAAGCUCUGUUAUUGGGGAAGAAAAAAAGACGGUACCCAAGAAGAAAGUCCCGGCUAACUACGUGCCAGCAGCCGCGGUAAUACGUAGGGGACAAGCGUUGUCCGGAAUUACUGGGCGUAAAGGGCACGCAGGCGGUUUUUUAAGUCAGAUGUGAAAAUAACGAAGCUUAACAGGUUAAUGCGCUUGAAACUAAAGGGCUUGAGGGCAAUAGAGGGAGAUGGAAUUACCUGUGUAGGGGUGAAAUCCGCAGAUAUAGGUAAGAAGGCCGGUGGGGAAGCCGAUCUCCUGGGAUGACUCUGACACUGAGGUUCGAAAGCUAGGGGAGCAAACC